UACAAGAUGACUGAUUAUAGGUGGAAGAUUGUAGCUCUUCAUAUGGGGUUAAUUCCUCUCUUGUAA
rnacentral:tRNA from 1 species